rnacentral:rRNA from 1 species
AGCGCGAAACCCACCACAAGAUGAGAUUUCUUUAAAGGGUCGUGGAAGAUGACCACGUUGAUAGGCUAUAGAUGUAAAGGCAGUAAUGUCAUAGUCGAGUAGUACUAAUAACCCGUAAGCUUAUGUGAA